AACGAACGCUGGCGGCAUGCCUAACACAUGCAAGUCGAACGAAACCUUCGGGUCUAGUGGCGCACGGGUGCGUAACGCGUGGGAACCUGCCCUUAGGUUCGGAAUAACUCCCCGAAAGGGGUGCUAAUACCGGAUAAUGUCUUCGGACCAAAGAUUUAUCGCCUUUGGAUGGGCCCGCGUUGGAUUAGCUAGUUGGUAGGGUAAAAGCCUACCAAGGCGACGAUCCAUAGCUGGUCUGAGAGGAUGAUCAGCCACACUGGGACUGAGACACGGCCCAGACUCCUACGGGAGGCAGCAGUGGGGAAUAUUGGACAAUGGGCGAAAGCCUGAUCCAGCAAUGCCGCGUGAAUGAUGAAGGCCUUAGGGUUGUAAAGCUCUUUUACCCGGGAUGAUAAUGACAGUACCGGGAGAAUAAGCUCCGGCUAACUCCGUG
rnacentral:rRNA from 1 species